UACCGCUGGACAUCAAUUUAUCGAUGCAACCGAUACGAGGAGGAAAACAGUUAAAAGCAUGGAUGACAGCAAUCGGUUCGAAACUCGUAUAGGAAAAUCUUACUAUUGUCUUUUACCUGAAAUAAUUCCAUUGUUUGAUGAUAAAAUGUUAAAGUUGCCACUUUAAGGUUAAUCGAUGCCAGAAUCCAACCUUAUGGUAUCAUAAAUGGAACAUUUUCUGAAGCACAGAAUUGCAGCUUGGUGCAAUAUAGAGAUUGCCCCACGGAAUUUGUCAAAGACGAAAUUAUUCCUAUAAUCGUAGGCAAUUCUCUUGCCGUUUUGGUAAUUGCCGUCAUGCUGUGUUAUUCGCUAUACAAGUCGAUGACUGUAUACAAAAGAUCUCUUGCAGAAUAAAAUUUAUAUUUGUAGAUGUUUUAGAUUGGAUUGAUGGAAUGGGGUGACUCAACGCAUGGAUGAUCUGUCAAGAGUGGUGCCACCUGGUAAGACUUUCUAUUGGAAACGGGCCUGGGGACGGAUAUGUAAUCUUCUGGGUUUAUGUAAUUGGUACAGAGCCGGUUUUUCGCCGAUUUGUCUGCUAGCUCAUUGAUCGGUAUACCUCUAUUUGCUGGGGUCCAUAUGAACCGGGUCCGUAAGAUGUUUGUGUUUCGCUGAUGAAUAUGACGGAUGAUGUGAUGCGUGAUAGAGACAGAAUUACCAUGGUAUGCCUGCAACGCAUUGUUGAGUGACUUUGAAUCCGCACGAACAAUAAUGUCUUCUCUGUGCUCGGUAGCGUUUGAUGGCAUGCAAAAUAGCGUACCGUAAAGAUGGUCGCUUCAGGGUGGAGGGUAAAGUAAACCUUCAUGUGAAGAGCAGAAUCGAUGUAAGCCGCCGUGACUGGGGUAUCGUCUUUCGAACCAUCCGUAGCAAUAAUCGGGCUCAGAUCUUGAUGCGUAACCCAAUCGUGGUGAAAUUGUCUAACGAGGACAGUAGGAAGGAAACUGUCCUGAAAAGGAAAGUCAUCUACAGUAAGACUCCGCUUAACGUUGCCUCGCUUAAUUAACGCUGA